rnacentral:lncRNA from 1 species
CUAUCCUUUCACCUUAAUUUCAUGCUUUUGUCAAUUCUGUAAUUUAUUUAAGUUUAAUUUACUUCUUGUCAAAACCAAACCCCCCCAUUAUUAAAUUAUAUUAUUUAGUUAGUUUUCAUUGUUGUUAGUCUUUUAAUUCAAUUUCUGUCCAUUUCAGUUCCUAGUGUCUAAUUUGAUUGUUUUCAUUAUUUUGAGUCAUUCUAAGUGUGUUUCGAGUUAUUAGAGUUUUUAGCCUAGUUUUGUGUCCUUGAGUCUUAUUUAAUAUUUUUAAUAGAUUAGCAAUCCCUCCUAAUCCCCGGCCUAGAACGAUACCCUACUUACAUCUAUACUACAAUUGUCAAAAAGAGGGUUUAAUUUGUGUGUCAAGUAAUUCUCACAUCAAGGAUUGUGUGUUAUUAUCCUAUACAAAUUAGGCCUUUAAAUCCUUUUCCUUUGCUACAUAGGGGCUGCGAAUUUCAGCCUAUAAAUACCAUCCUUUGCUGCACCAUUUAGUCACCACCCUCUACCAUAUUUUCACUACACCAUUCACCCAAACAUCCCUCUUGUGCCGUGAGUUUGCAAAGGAGAAGGAAUGAGACUCUUGGAGCCGUGCAUGCCAUUCAAGGAACUUGGAUUGUUGGAGCGUUUCUAGGUGUUUUCUAUCUUUAUGUCAAUGUUUAAAUUUAUUUAUCUUUGUUUAUUUGCAAACAUGAGGAACUAAUUUCUUUAUAGUUAGAGGGGAAUUCAAAGCCAUGAUCAUAUGUUUUAUAUGACUUGAUU